GUUGUAUGGUUAAGUGACUAAGCGUACACGGUGGAUGCCUUGGCAGUCAGAGGCGAUGAAGGACGUAUUAACUUGCGAUAAGCCCAGAUUAGGUAGUAAAAACCAUUUGAGUCUGGGAUUUCCGAAUGGGGAAACCCACUUGCAUAAGCAAGUAUCCUGUUGUGAAUACAUAGCAACAGGAGGCGAACCGGGGGAACUGAAACAUCUAAGUACCCCGAGGAAAAGAAAUCAACCGAGAUUCCGAAAGUAGCGGCGAGCGAAAUUGGACUAGCCCUUAAGCUUUAUAUGCGUUAGACGAACGGUCUGGAAAGUCCGGCGAUACAGGGUGAUAGCCCCGUAGUUGACAACGCACAUUCAGUGAAAUCGAGUAGGGCGGGACACGUGAUAUCCUGUCUGAAUAUGGGGGGACCAUCCUCCAAGGCUAAAUACUACUGACUGACCGAUAG
rnacentral:rRNA from 1 species